UUUCUUCGAUUGAGCAGCUUGAGUGACUUCAGUCUCCUAACCCUAACCCUAACCCUAACCCUAACCCAACCCCAACCCCAACCCCAACCCCAACCCCAACUGUACAAAAAUCCGCCGAGAGAUCGAGAGGCAAUUACAGGAAUUGAUGGAGGUAAAGAGCAAAAUGGGGAGAGUAUACCUGAACUUGUGCUCGGUUCUGUGAAACAUGGUAAAUCAGUAUGAGUUCGGUUCUGUGAAACAUGGUAAAAUCUCAGUAUGAGUUCCCUCACAACCUACAAGACAUAGAGAUAGAACCAGAAAUCAAAUAUGUCUUUCUCAAUUUUUGCCAUCAAGACAUAGGAAAGAGCUUCACAGCACAUCUCAACCAGAUCUAGGUGAUUCAGGUAUCUCUACCUUGUAUUUACCCACACAAUAUGAUGAUGAAACCCAGAGGAGAGAGCAUAUUCCCUGUGAUGUACAGAGAUCCAUUGAAGAAUGUGAGUUCUUCAUCACUGUCUUUUCAUCCAACCAUGCUUCUUCUUUCUUCUGCCUUGACCUGAUUUCUUAUGGACUGAGUUUGCAACUGACGACUAUGAUAAGGUCUGUUUUUCCUGUUUUUUGUAUUAUGGAGCCUUCACAUGUCUGUUGGAAAAAUGGGCCUUGGUUUGAGGAGAAGAAAACACGAGGUGUGGAGAAAUGCUUUCAAAGAAGUUGCCCAUCUUUCUGGUUGGGAUAUGAAAAAUUACAGGAGUGAAGUUUAUUUGGUUGAUGCUAAGCAUGUUUCAGGGAAGUUGAAUUUGCAACACUAUGGCAUGUCACUGAUCACCCUACUGGGCUUGAGUCUCAGGUUAAUGAUAAGAUGAGACUCUUCAAUAUUAAUAUUUGGUUACCAAUAAUGAUAUUUGGAUGAAUAGAAACCAUGGCAUGGGCAGCAUCAGAAGUUAAAUUGUGAGGCAGUCUUCAGCCAAAUUUAUUGAAGGUUCCAACACGUGAGGACUUAUCACCUUACAGAAACAAUUUCUAAAAGAUCCAAUGUUUAUGAAUAGAAUUGGUUGUAAGAAACAACUUUCAUCCAAUAUAAACAAUUUUAUUAGGGGAUAAAAUUGAAA